CAAAAUAAAGAAAGCAAAUGUUAAGGAGAAAAAAUCAAGCAGUGGGGAUGAGGCAACUGGGCAUUGGAACGAUAUGGAGAGACAAAAAAGAGAAAUGGUGAGGAAAAUGAUGGGACUCCAGAAAGAAAGAAAGAAAGGAGAAAGUUAGUAGAUACAUUGGAAUGUUUACGGGAAAGAGCAGCGAUGGACAGAGCAUUACGAGAAAAGGAAUUAAAGGAAAAACGAGAAGAGUGUGAGAGCUGUGAGC